GACGAACGCUGGCGGCGUGCUUAACGCAUGCAAGUCGAACGGAAAGGCCCUGCUUUUGUGGGGUGCUCGAGUGGCGAACGGGUGAGUAACACGUGAGUAACCUGCCCUUGACUUUGGGAUAACUUCAGGAAACUGUGGCUAAUACCGGAUAGGAGCUCCUGCUGCAUGGUGGGGGUUGGAAAGUUUCGGCGGUUGGGGAUGGACUCGCGGCUUAUCAGCUUGUUGGUGGGGUAGUGGCUUACCAAGGCUUUGACGGGUAGCCGGCCUGAGAGGGUGACCGGCCACAUUGGGACUGAGAUACGGCCCAGACUCCUACGGGAGGCAGCAGUGGGGAAUAUUGCACAAUGGGCGGAAGCCUGAUGCAGCAACGCCGCGUGCGGGAUGACGGCCUUCGGGUUGUAAACCGCUUUCGCCUGUGACGAAGCGUGAGUGACGGUAAUGGGUAAAGAAGCACCGGCUAACUACGUG
rnacentral:rRNA from 1 species